rnacentral:ncRNA from 2 species
UCGGCUGAUAGAGGCGAUGAAGCGCGGUCCUGUAUACGGGCACCUGGGACGCGCGGAGCCAGUGGUGCGACCGGCUAUCUGUCUG